ACCUCUGUUCUCUGUAGCUGCCCUGCACCUGCCUGUUCACCCUGUUCCCUUUCCUGUGCUCUGAGUCGUGCAGUCAGUCCUUCAAGGCCCAUUGCAAGUCAUAUCUACAAAACAGGAGCCGCCUGGAUCCGCCCACUACCCCCAGGACUUGUCUCACCUUCCUCUGAUGGCCAUGGUACUGAAAGCGUCUGCUCUCAUCGUCCCCCUUUAUAGUCUAAACAUGUUUUCUGUCUGCUUCCACCGUCACUGAAUUACUCAUUUAUUUGUUAAUGUUUCAUCUCUCCAACUGGACUGCCAGAAAGUUGAGAUAUGGGCCCAAAU
rnacentral:lncRNA from 1 species